ACGGCUGCAUCGCUUCUUUCAUUCAUCCGUUCACUAACCUGAGUACCUGACCUAAGCAGAGCAGCUGUUGUUCCCACUCCACGCAAAGAUGAAUAAGAUGUGCUUAUCUUUCCUUGUGGCUCUUCUAGUCGUUCUCCAUCUCCUCUCAACACAGGUGGUGCAGGCCCAGACCACUAAAGUUCCCACCGUGACUACUACUAAGGCCAACAUGACUACCACCGUGAACAAGACCACCACAUACAACGGCUGCGGGAGGACCGACGCCUUGACGCUGCUCCCGCUGGCGGUUGCAUCCUCCCUCCUCAGUUGGUCCUAAAUAACCGGACUGGUCGCUCUUUGCCCACUUGUCAACACUGCUGGACUGGGCACGCAACGUUAUUCCAAGAGCAGUUCUUUUGAAGUCCCUCGUCUCCCAACACCUUUUUUGGAUUACAUCAGAUACUUUCUGUAGCCCAGAGCGCGUCUCAGUUUUUACUCUCCAACCAGAGACGACGUUACUCCCUGUUCUCUGCGAGGACUAUAUGAAAGUUCCCGUUGUCGGCCAAAACCCCGGUCUCUGUUUCUUGUAUGGGGUGAAUAAUAUUUGUAGCAGGUAUAACUCGUAUGCCCACCACGCUUUAAAAAAAAGAGCGCUCUACCGACCUAAACGUGAUUUGUAAACAAGUUUUUGUUUAUUACAAAUUCUGGAAGUGUGUGUGUGUAUACAUU